rnacentral:rRNA from 1 species
AACGAACGCUGGCGGCAUGCCUAACACAUGCCAGUCGAACGAAGCCUUCGGGCUUAGUGGCGCACGGGUGCGUAACGCGUGGGAAUCUGCCCUUUGGUUCGGAAUAACAGGUGGAAACGACUGCUAACACCGGAUGAUGACGAAAGUCCAAAGAUUUAUCGCCAGAGGAUGAGCCCGCGUAGGAUUAGCUAGUUGGUGUGGUAAAGGCGCACCAACGCGACGAUCCUUAGCUGGUCUGAGAGGAUGAUCAGCCACACUGGGACUGAGACACGGCCCAGACUCCUACGGGAGGCAGCAGUGGGGAAUAUUGGACAAUGGGCGAAAGCCUGAUCCAGCAAUGCCGCGUGAGUGAUGAAGGCCCUAGGGUUGUAAAGCUCUUUUACCCGGGAUGAUAAUGACAGUACCGGGAGAAUAAGCCCCGGCUAACUCCGUGCCAGCCGCCGCCGUAA